GACGUAGGGUGCGAGCGUUGUCCGGAUUUAUUGGGCGUAAAGAGCUCGUAGGCGGCUCGUCGCGUCGACCGUGAAAACCCGCAGCUUAACUGCGGGCCUGCGGUUGAUACGGGCGGGCUAGAGUUCGGUAGGGGAGACUGGAAUUCCUGGUGUAGCGGUGAAAUGCGCAGAUAUCAGGAGGAACACCGGUGGCGAAGGCGGGUCUCUGGGCCGAUACUGACGCUGAGGGGCGAAAGCAUGGGGAGCGUACAGG
rnacentral:rRNA from 1 species